UACGUAGGGGGCUAGCGUUGUCCGGAAUCAUUGGGCGUAAAGCGCGCGUAGGCGGCCAGAUAAGUCCGGUGUGAAAGUCACAGGCUCAACCUGUGAAUGCCGCUGGAAACUGCCUGGCUUGAGUCCGGAAGGGGGCGAGUGGAAUUCCUAGUGUAGCGGUGAAAUGCGCAGAUAUCAGGAGGAACACCAAUGGCGAAGGCAGCUCGCUGGAACGGUACUGACGCUGGAGGCGCGAAAGCGUGGGGAGCGAACGG
rnacentral:rRNA from 1 species